rnacentral:rRNA from 1 species
GAUGAACGCUGGCGGCGUGCCUAACACAUGCAAGUCGAGCGGCAGCGCGGGGUUCUUGCACCCUGUCGGCGAGCGGCGGACGGCUGAGUAACGCGUGUGAACUUCCCCCAACGUUAGGAAUAACUGCCCGAAAUGGUAGCUAAUACCGCAUAGUAUCUUCGCAUCAAAGUGUUUAUUCGCUUUGGGAGCGGCUCGCGGCUGGUUUGGUGGUUGGUGAGGUAAUUGCUAGCCAAGCCGAGGAUCCGUAGCUGGUCGGAGAGGAUGACUAGCCAGACUGGAACUAAGACACGGUCCAGAAUCCUACGGGAGGCAGCAGUGAGGAAUAUUACAGAAUGGGGGAAAGCCUGAUGGAGCAACGCGGGGUGCAGGACGAAGGCGUUCGGGUUGUAAACUGCUUUUAUAAGUGAGGAAUAUGACGGUAACUUAUGAAUAAGGAUCGGCUAACUACGUG